UACGAGGGGGGCAAGCGUUGUUCGGAAUUAUUGGGCGUAAAGGGCGCGUAGGCGGUGCGGUAAGUCACCUGUGAAACCUCUAGGCUCAACCUAGAGCCUGCAGGCGAAACUGCCGUGCUUGAGGGUGGGAGAGGUGCGUGGAAUUCCCGGUGUAGCGGUGAAAUGCGUAGAUAUCUGGAGGAACACCGGUGGCGAAGGCGGCAUCCUGGACCGGCAUUGACGCUGAGGCGCGAAAGCUAGGGGAGCAAACGGG
rnacentral:rRNA from 1 species